AGUGAACGCUGGCGGUAGGCCUAACACAUGCAAAUCGAACGGCAGCACAGUAAGAGCUUGCUCUUACGGGUGGCGAGUGGCGGACGGGUGAGGAAUACAUCGGAAUCUACUUUUUCGUGGGGGAUAACGUAGGGAAACUUACGCUAAUACCGCAUACGACCUACGGGUGAAAGCAGGGGAUCUUCGGACCUUGCGCGAUUGAAUGAGCCGAUGUCGGAUUAGCUAGUUGGCGGGGUAAAGGCCCACCAAGGCGACGAUCCGUAGCUGGUCUGAGAGGAUGAUCAGCCACACUGGAACUGAGACACGGUCCAGACUCCUACGGGAGGCAGCAGUGGGGAAUAUUGGACAAUGGGCGCAAGCCUGAUCCAGCCAUACCGCGUGGGUGAAGAAGGCCUUCGGGCUGUAAAGCCCUUUUGUUGGGAAAGAAAAGCAGCAGGUUAAUACCCCGCUGUUCUGACGGUACCCAAAGAAUAAGCACCGGCUAACUUCGUG
rnacentral:rRNA from 1 species